rnacentral:rRNA from 1 species
GACGAACGCUGGCGGCGUGCUUAACACAUGCAAGUCGAACGGAAAGGCCCUGCUUUUGUGGGGUGCUCGAGUGGCGAACGGGUGAGUAACACGUGAGUAACCUGCCCUUGACUUUGGGAUAACUUCAGGAAACUGGGGCUAAUACCGGAUAGGAGCUCCUGCUGCAUGGUGGGGGUUGGAAAGUUUCGGCGGCUGGGGAUGGACUCGCGGCUUAUCAGCUUGUUGGUGGGGUUGUGGCUUACCAAGGCUUUGACGGGUAGCCGGCCUGAGAGGGUGACCGGCCACAUUGGGACUGAGAUACGGCCCAGACUCCUACGGGAGGCAGCAGUGGGGAAUAUUGCACAAUGGGCGGAAGCCUGAUGCAGCAACGCCGCGUGCGGGAUGACGGCCUUCGGGUUGUAAACCGCUUUCGCCUGUGACGAAGCGUGAGUGACGGUAAUGGGUAAAGAAGCACCGGCUAACUACGUG